rnacentral:rRNA from 1 species
GGACUACUGGGGUAUCUAAUCCCUUUUGCUCCCCACGCUUUCGUGCCUGAGUGUCAGCUAUUGUCCAGGGAGCCGCCUUCGCCUCUGGUAUUCCUCACGAUAUCUACGCAUUUCACUGCUACACCGUGAAUUCUGCUCCCCUCUCCAAUGCUCUAGCCAAGUAGUUUGAGGUGCAAUUCCGAUGUUAAGCAUCGGGCUUUCACGCCUCACACACCUGGCCACCUGCGCACCCUUUACGCCCAGUGAAUCCGAAUAACGCUUGCAGUCUCUGUAUUACCGCGGCUGCUGGCAC